GAUGAACGCUGGCGGCGUGCCUAAUACAUGCAAGUCGAGCGAACGGACGAGAAGCUUGCUUCUCUGAUGUUAGCGGCGGACGGGUGAGUAACACGUGGAUAACCUACCUAUAAGACUGGGAUAACUUCGGGAAACCGGAGCUAAUACCGGAUGAUAUUUUGAACCGCAUGGUUCAAAAGUGAAAGACGGUCUUGCUGUCACUUAUAGAUGGAUCCGCGCUGCAUUAGCUAGUUGGUAAGGUAACGGCUUACCAAGGCAACGAUGCAUAGCCGACCUGAGCGGGUGAUCAGCCACACUGACACUUAGACACCGUCCAGAAUCCUACGGGAGGCAGAAGUAAGGAAUCUUCCGCAAUAGGCGAAAGCCUGACGGAGCAACGCCGCGUGAGUGAUGAAGGUCUUCGUAUCGUAAAACUCUGUUAUUAGGGAAGAACAUAUGUGUAAGUAACUGUGCACAUCUUGACGGUACCUAAUCAGAAAGCCACGGCUAACUACGUG
rnacentral:rRNA from 1 species